UACGUAGGAGGCAAGCGUUGUCCGGAUUUACUGGGCGUAAAGCGCGCGCAGGCGGCAGUGCAAGUAAGGUGUGAAAUCUCCCUGCUCAACGGGGAGGGUGCAUUUUAGACUGCACAGCUAGAGGUCGGUAGAGGGGGGUGGAAUUGCUGGUGUAGCGGUGAAAUGCGUAGAGAUCAGCAGGAACACCCGUGGCGAAGGCAGGUCUCUGGGCUGACACUGACGCUCAUGCACGAAAGCGUGGGGAGCAAACAGG
rnacentral:rRNA from 1 species